GAUGAAGAACGCAGCGAAAUGCGAUAAGUAAUGUGAAUUGCAGAAUUCAGUGAAUCAUCGAAUCUUUGAACGCACCUUGCGCCCUUUGGCUAUUCCGAAGGGCAUGCCUGUUUGAGUAUCAUGAACAUCUCAACUCCUCGCGGUUUGCCCGUGACGAGCUUGGACCUUGGGGGUCUUGCCGGCCUGCGGGUCGGCUCCUCUCAAAUGAAUCGGCUUGCCGGUGUUUGGUGGCGUCACAGGUGUGAUAACUAUCUACGCUUGUGGUUUUCCGCCAGGUAACCUCCAGCGAUGGGGGUUCACUGGAGCUCACAAACGUCUCUCCUCGGCGAGGACGGCUUUUUGAACGUUUGAUCUCAAAUCAGGUAGGACUACCCGCUGAACUUAAGCAUAUCAAUAGCGGAGGA
rnacentral:misc_RNA from 1 species